rnacentral:misc_RNA from 1 species
GUUGCCAUCUUAAGUUGUUACUUUAAUCAUCCUUCAUGACUUUAGGAUUAACCCAAUUCUAUUUAAUCUAAUGAAAAUGAGUUGGACGAGACCAUUCUAAAUCAAUUAUUUUAUUUUUGAAGUAAGAUUAAAAAGUGAAUUAAGAUUGAGUUAUGUGUUAUGAUAUUUGGAGAGUGCCCGAUGUGCUUGUGUAAUGCCAGGAAAUUUAAAAAGCAAUGUAAGCAAACAAUUGAUCUAAUAAGUAUAUGGCCUUACCUCACGUGCCCAACCAUCAACGA